AUUGAACGCUAGCGGGAUGCCUUACACAUGCAAGUCGAACGGAGUGGCGAACGGGUGAGUAAUGUAUCGGAACGUGCCCAGUAGCGGGGGAUAACUACGCGAAAGCGUAGCUAAUACCGCAUACUAUUGGAGCGGCCGAUAUCGGAUUAGCUAGUGGGUGGGGUAACGGCUCACCAAGGCGACGAUCCGUAGCUGGUUUGAGAGGACGACCAGCCAAACUGGGAACGAGAACAGGCCCAGACUCCCACGGGAGGCAGCAGUGGGGAAUUUUUGACAAUGGGGGAAACCCUGAUUCAGCCAUCCCGCGUGUGCGAUGAAGGCCUUCGGGUUGUAAAGCCCUUUUUGCAGGAAAGCGGUACCUGCAGAAUAAGCACCGGCUAACUACGUGCCAGCAGCCGCGGUAAUUC
rnacentral:rRNA from 1 species